CCUGUCCUUUUUGAAGCCCAAUUUUAAUUCAUGCAAAUCAAAUUGGUGAUAGAAUUAGCGGUUUCCAGUUGGUUUACUAUUGACGACUUAUUAGUUUGGUUUGCCAUCUAUACCCACAAGCGGUCGUCUCUCACUGAGAAUGCCAAAUAUUUUUAGCAGUCAAUGCUGGCGUCACUGUCGUGAAAUGACGGGUUUGAAAGUAAAUAUUCUGACGGUGUCGUAUGAUUUAUCAGUUCGGGUUUUUUUUUGAAUGGGAGACGUUUGUUUUGUCAGAAUGACUGAACUCACUACUAUGGAUAUGAGUGCAUCUUUAAUAUUUCGCAGAUAAUAGCUUAUUACGCGCUAGCAGGUCGACGUGGUGCAUGGAGUGUGCCCUACAGACGCAUUACACACAAGUGUCAAUGCUGCCGUUUUGUGUCAACCUCUGGGAGAGACCGGCUUACGCAGAACCUCUCAUUGUCCGCAGUGAAGGAUUGAUCAAAUGUAUUUUACAAGAUUAAGACUGUUAGAUGUAUCAAGGAUAAACAAAUGGCUUCAAAACAUGCGUGUAACAGCCUCGAUGAUUUGAUCGCCAGCGGAAUAAACAAUGCUCGCGCGCUUGGUUCGAUUGAAUGGAUAGGUAUGGGGAUGGGAUCCACCUUAUGUUUCCAGAAAAACGGAAAAACACUGGGGCUGAAUCGAAUGUGGACUAAAUGUAUUUUAUCCGUUGGAAUGGUUUUGCUUUUAAUGCCGUCGGUCCUAGCUGCUGAUGAUGAAGGGCACUACAACGAGUCAUCAAGGCAUGCGGCUCUGCCUCAGGACCCAGCCGUGCCCUCUAACCUCUCUGCCAGGGCAACGCCAGUGGAGGACGGGCCCCGGGCCCCUCCAGCCAUACCCACGGACCCAACAGACCCAUCAGGGUUGACAGCAGAAAGCAUCAGAGAGCAGCCUGUGCAACCAUCAGUGCUAGCUAAUGCCUCCUCCUUAGCCUCCUCCUCAGCCAUCAACAGUGACAAUCAAACAGCAGGAACAACAGACCCUUUGUCUUUAGCACCUGUAACCAACAGCACCUCAAACACCAGCCCAGGUAGGACACGUCAUCAAACAAUAAUCAAACCCAUCUUGUUGUAG
rnacentral:lncRNA from 1 species